UACGUAGGGUGCGAGCGUUAAUCGGAAUUACUGGGCGUAAAGCGUGCGUAGGUGGUCUUUUAAGUCCGUUGUGAAAGCCCUGGGCUCAACCUGGGAAUGGCAGUGGAUACUGGAAGGCUGGAGUACGGUAGAGGAGGGUGGAAUUCCCGGUGUAGAGGUGAAAUUCGUAGAUAUCGGGAGGAACACCGGUGGCGAAGGCGGCGACCUGGGACAAUACUGACGCUGAGGUGCGAAAGCGUGGGGAGCAAACAGG
rnacentral:rRNA from 1 species